CUUUCAAAACCAAAUAGUUUGAAUAAAUCAUUUAGUACACAGCAAAUAGUGGACUGCACUAUUAGUGUAUAUCCAUAUUAGAUAAGUACGAUAGAUAGUUAUCUGUAGUUAUCUAUAACUAUUGUUGUUAUCCUUAGAUUGGGUCUUAUCAAAGAUCUUCUAAGGCUUGUAUAUAAACGCUCUUAAGCAGUCAAUGAGAAUACACUUGAAACCUAUCUUACAUGGUAUCAGAGCAGUAGUCAUCUUCUUCAGAUUUGUAGUGCUGACUAGAAUCAGGUACGGACUAGCACGUUACUGGGCGAUCUUGUUCGUCUUCUAGUUUCUAGUGUUUGGCAUCUGGGCAUCGCGUUCUCACGCUCACGCUUCCACUUGAACAUUCUUCUUCAUCCUCAUUCUCCUGGUUUGUUUGUGUUACUCUUUUGUUUUUGUAUGUCUCUGUCAAUAUCGUUUACAUCUUUCUAUUAGAAGAAGAAAAAUGUACAAUUAUUUGUUCCCAUAAAAAAAAGAAACUGUUCUGUCUCUCUGUUA